GAACUCACGGACCACGAGAUCGUGACCAGAGCCGAAGUCGGACGCUUAACCGACUGAGCCACCCAGGCGCCCCGAAACAAACAAUAUUUAGACCAGCAACGCACCCAAUGAAAAAUACUGACCUUUCUCCGAUCUCUGGUAGUUAGGGGUGGCCACACACGUGUGUGAGUAUGUAUUUACAUGUGCAUGUAUACGUGUAAGAAAUGAAAUGUGUGUGUGUGAAAUGAAAUCAUGACAUAUAGGCUGAAGUCCCUGGGAAGGCUUGGAAACAAGCCUUGGGAGGAGGUGGUUUUUCCUUGAUUGCCUGCAGGAAGGAAUACUUGGCAGUGGAGGAGCCAUCGUGAGUCCAGGAGGCCAAACACCACACAAGGACUAUGAAGGAAAACGCUGCAAGGAGCCAGCAUGUAGUCACCCCAGUUUUGGACUACUGAAUUAUGGAUUUCUUGUUAUGGGAGGAGAACGGCCCCUUUUCAGUUAAGUUCUUUGGUGAGGUCUCUAUUCCAGGUAGGCAAGUGCAAUCCUAACUGACCCCAGUGUCUUGGCCCCAGCCAUAGGUCUAGUGGUGACAGAGUCAGCAUGAAAGCACAGAUUUGUCUCCCCCCAGAUGCCAUGUUCUCUCUGGGCUACCGUGUACCUAUAAGGGUUUUGCCUCUGCAAACGCCUUCUCAUGUUCACCCCCUGCCUAUUGGGAAAGUGUUCAGGGGCUCAUAGAACUCUGGACUUGGCACUGUAUUUCUAUGUGUAUUCUGCACAAUAUUUGGUUUUUCCAUGCUCCAUUCAGAUCUGACUGCACAGCUAAGCCACGGACCUUCGUGAGCCGGCUCCCCAGUGCAGGUUCCUAGAACUUAACAUUCUCUUCAGAGAACAGAACUGUAGAGCUUGUUACUAAGCCACUCUGGCUUUAUUUUUCUUACAAGAAAUAAGUCCUUGUAGCCCUAGGAAGCCAGCUUGACCACCCUCAGGAGAUUGGAAGCCCAACCCCACAUCGUACCCUGCUGACCGCUUCCUGCUGAUUUUUCCUUUCAUGUAUGGAUUUGCUUAUUCUUGACCUCCUCCCCACCCCCCAAAAAACCUUUUUUCCGACAGGCACACUGUCUGAUAGCUUUUCUGUUACUGCUGACAUUUAGAAUAAAAUGCCCUGAUCUGUCAGCUGCUGCAUCUGGGGCUUGCCCCUACUGGCCUCACAUUCAGUAUGUGGGUCUGGGAUGUUCCCGGGCUGUCCCAAGUGGCCAGAAUUAACUAAGUUGAGCCUACCUGUGUCCUGAGUACCACACACACACACACACACACACACACACACACACACUGUAGAAGAAUUAUUCAGGUGAGCCACUUUGUGGCAUUUCCCACAUGGCAACAUGACAUGAAUUAUCAGUGACUAAUGUUCUUCUCACAAAAUCACUGCUAAAGGCACAGAUUCCUGCUUCAGGGACAUACAAGAGACACUGCUUUAGGAGAACAAAGUACUGCCGUAGAACAACAGUGCAUCACCCACUACACCUUCAAAGAACAGAAAGCUCUAAAUUGUCUUUCUCUCAAAGGAGAAACUCACCCUCAGGAAAAAGCAUAUGAGAAAGUGCAAUUCCUUUACCACAAGCUUCUUUCAGCUCCGGUUCUCGCUAUAGUGUGCCCGAGGUAAGCACAGAAGAUAGACUCAAACAUAUUCAAAACUCAGUCUUUCUUUUAAUUCUUUGAAACAUUACAGCAUUGUUGCAAAUGUAUAUAAGAGGAAGCAAACUCUGUUUUGGUUGUCUAUUUAUGUAACAAACCACCUCAACACUUAGAACCUUAAAACAGCGACUGUUUUGAUUUUCUCUUACAAUUCUGUGGGUUGGCUGGAAUCAGGCAUGUGGUUCUUCUGCCCGCCCCCCCUCCCGAUGCCUGCUGGGGCUGCAGUCAUCCCAGGGCUUAAUUGACUGGUUGGCCCAAGAUGGUUCAGUCACAACUCUGGUGCCUUGGCAGGGAUAGAUGGAAGGCUGGCACCAGCCAGGAUCUGGGACAGCUGAGCCACUUUCUCACCCUAUAUAGUCUCAGGUCUAAUCUCUUUCCAUAUGACCUCUCCAUGUGGUAUUUCCAGCAGGGUAACUGGACCUCUUAAAUGGCAGUUUCCUCACAAAAGAAGAAACUUCCAGGCUUCCUUAGUCUUAGGCUCAGUAACUGACACAGUGUCACUUCCAUUUCAUUGUAUGAGUUAGUGAGUCUCAGGGCCAGUCCAGAGUCAAUAUGGGACUAGACUGCAUAGCAGCAUGAGAGGCAUGGUCUAUUGAGAGCCAUCUUGGGAAAGUGACUACUGCAUUGAUAUUCACUCUAUGGAAUGUGGAAAUGACACUUGAUAUGUUAAAUCAUGCUUUGUGGAAGAAAACGUGUUGCCUUAUUAGCUCUGUGAAUCAUCAAGAUGCAUAGAUAUUGGGAGCAUCUAGAAGCUACACAUAUCCAGUGAAUCUAAGUGUUUCAAAAACAUGAUCAGGACCUCUAGGGGGAAAAUCACAUUUUAUUCAAUGGUUACAUACACAAGAAAUAAAGCUCGGUAAAUAGAUGGGUAAAUUUAAUAUUCUCAGUAUAGCAAGUUAGUAAUAUCAUGUAUUGGAUAUUUAUUAAGAAUAGGCACUGGGCUGUCAUUAUUUAUACAUGAUUUUACUUAAUCUUUACAAAUACUCUAUGGGGCGAGUAUUAUUACCUCAAAUUUCCACAUGAGAAACUAAAGUUCCAUGAGAUUUUGUAACUUGCCUAAGAUUGAACAUGUAGUAAUUGGAUGAGUUAAGAUGUAUACCUAAGUUGACCUGAUAUUGGAACCCUUGCGUUUUUAAACUCUAUCAUUUUACUUGUUUUGUCUUUGCUCACUGUUUUCUUAAAUUGUUACAGAAUAAUCGUCCUUUUAAGUGGAAACAAGAGCCACAUCUCAUAUUCCCAUCUCUAAAGAUUUAGAACCCAUUUCCUACUUAGACAGCCUGCUGAAGUCAAGAUUUUAAAAUCCAGUUUUUAUCUUGGCAUGAUAGUCCAGACCAUUUCCCAGAGCUCUCAUAUCUACAAACAUAUGCCUCUGUGCUUAAACUUGAACUUCAUCCAAACCCCAAGGUUAUUAGUGAGUAAAAUCCUCCUUCUGGUUUUAUCUAGGUAUCUGGAAAGUUUCCCUUUGGCACUAGAGCCGUGAAUCACAACUUCUCAUUCGUGCCAUCUAAGGACAGAGAAAUGGAAUACCUGUGCUUGCAUUUUGUGGUAACGUGAUUUUGGAAACGUCUCACCAAAAAUCAGAACUCGAGAAGAGAAUAAACAUACCGAUUACUUGCAUGGCCGGUUCCACGUCUGUUGUGGCCUCUUCCAACAAUGACAGCAGCUUGGCUGAUAUCUGAUGCACGGAUUCAAUGUUGCUAAACAAGCUAUCCACGUCCAGCCGAUCAAUCUGAAGAAACACAAACACUGAGCACCAGCUGAUGGAGAGAGACGCACUGUAUUUAGGACAUUUUCUCCUGCUAAACAGCUAACUUGUGUCUUCCUGGACUGAAAAGACAUGAAUCAGACGUAGAGAAAGAAAUCAUGGAGGAGGUACAAUAGAGCAAAGAUAGUCUUCUCACCAAGAGGAAAGACACGGACCAGAUGACUUCCCAAAGUUCUCUUCCACUCUAACUUGUACAUGUAUAAUAUUUAUUUACGUUGCCUCAGGUUUCUCAGCAUGGUUUGCAGAUCGUUCCCCUGGUUACAUAAACACUGUCUAUAUUAAUUUAUAAAUUUUGACACUAACUGGUGACAAGCGGUUUGUAUGCAAAGACUUUGGUAUUUAAACGGUUAGAAAGGAAGCGAGGACACGAAGGAGCUAAUGAACAUCGAAAAGGUGGCAAAUACACUCAUGGCAUAAAUUAACUACCUUGGCAUUCAUAGAUGUUUCGUCUGAAUUCCUGAGCAUCUAUUUAAAGUUUUUUGGUUUUUUUUUUAGAGAGAGAGAAAGAGAGGGCACAAACAGGGGAAGGGCAGAAAGAGAGGGAGAGAGAAAUCUAAGCAGGCUCUACACUGUCAGAGCUGAGCCUGUUGUGGGGCUUGAACCCACGAACCAUGAGAUCAUGACAUGAACUGAAAUCAAGAAUCAGAGACUUAACUGACUGAGCCACCCAGGCGCCCCUUGAGCAUCUAUUUACUUAGUCAAGGUUAAAGCAUUAAGAAGUGAGGGGAAAGGUGGGUCUGACAUGAGAAUUCUGAAAAACCUCUGAAUAACUAGUAUUUCAACAUUAGUAGAGAGGACAAAGUGACCACUAGACUGAAACCAAUGUCCACAAUGAGACCAGAGAGCACUGAAAAGAUAUCUAAACAAAGAGACAACUACCAGAUGUGAAAAAUGAGCAAGCUAUAAACAAUCUGAAUAGAAUAACAAGGGGAAAAUAGGAGUUCGAAGUGCGAGAACAGUAAUUCAAAGUAUUGAAGAGUAAGUUAAACAUGCUAAACAAACUACGUGUCACCACAACGGAAACGUUUUAUUUUACAUGGUUGAAACACCAAUUCUGAGAACUGCUGGUAAAGGUUACACAAGAAGCAAAAAAUAAGAAAAACAACAAAAGCCAAAACACAAAGAUUGGAAUGCAUAUAAAAGAUUACAGCUGAGCAAUGGCAUAUAUAUUGGUGGGGCCAGUUUAAUUCACCAGUGUGGUAGAUGGUUUAAAGUUGAGAACAUUUGCACAUUAAAUAAACUUCUUAUUCCAUUUGAUAAAAAAAUGUGUUAUGAAUUAAAAGGUGGGCAUUUCUUAUAUAUUGUCUUUUUUUAUAUUAAUCAUUAACUCAUCACAGGGACAAAUUCUUGGUACAUUGAGUUUAUUUUGAAAUGUCUUAAUCACACAUGGUUUUACACAUAUUAAAUAUUUCACAUCCAACUUAAAAAAAUUUUUUUAAGUUUUUUUACUUUUGAGAGAGACAGAGACAGCACACCUGGGGGAGGGGCAGAGAGAGAGGGAGAUGGAGAAUACCAAGCAGGUUCUGCACUGUCAGCAGCAUUAUCAGCGUGGAGAUUGACAUGGGGCUUGAACUCACAAGACCAUGAGACCAUGACCUGAACCAAAACCUAGAGUUGGACGCUUAACCGACUGAGCU